CUGAAGAGGGAAGAAGAAAUCAACAUGCAAAUUCAAUUCCAUGGUUUUGGAAGUCCCAUUGAGAACACGAUUCAUUUGCGCCGGCAUAAUGCUCUGACCGAGAAAGAAUUGAAGUACCACGCUGAGUAUUGUUAUCCCGAUAGUUCUUUCAUCUCAGUCCGUGUGUAUUCCUGGGCGAAUGUGCUCGUGUGGUCUCAGGAGUUGCGGAGGUCACGGCUCUGGGACAGCCGUUUCAUCGCCCAAUGCUGCAGGAAAAAAGCAAUGCAAGUGCCGUUAAUUUUUUGCAUGGCGAGCUGCUGCAUACUAACCGGUCUCACACCAUUACCAACACCUUGCCCUUGUGAAGGCAGAUAUGGAUAAGGUUCUCAAAGCUGACAGAAGAUUGAAACCACUCUAAUCCUGUGACGAUGAACCUGUCCCGGAAGAGAGAGCCCAGAGAAUUGCCAAAGCUGUCCGCAAACAGUCAAUAGAAGUGAAGGAAAAUUGGGAACAACUGAAAAUCCGUGCGAGCAACUGGCAGAAACAGGUGGAAAAGGUGUUGGAGAAACUUCAAGAACUGCAGAAAGUUCUGGAUGAUCUUGAGGCUCAUGUGAUAACAGCUGAGGGGGUCCACACUGAUUGGCAACCUGUGAGUGACCUGCUUAUUGACUCAUUGCAGGAUCACAUUGAUAAAACCACAGGUCAGGACUAUCUUCAAAAUCUGAGAUUGGGUUUUGAAAGACAGCAGCCUUUGUUUUGGAGAGAUAAUGGGAACUGCAGAUGCUGGAGAAUGCGAGAUAACAACGUGUGGAGCUGGAUGAAGACAGCAGGCCAAGCAGCAUCUGAGCAGCUUUCCUGGAGCAAGUCUGUUUUCCUUCGGAUGAGACGACUUUCAGACAUACUCCCUUUAUUAUGAGAUUUAAUUGCGGUAAAAUGAGGAGGAUUUUUAUUCACUGAGACACACAUGACUAUAUGUUGAAAGCAUUGGAAAAAGCGUUCUGUUCGGACUGUCAUGUUAUCUGGUGUUUGUACCAGGCUUUCCGAUGAAAUGCAAGUGAUUAAGGAUGCUACUGAUGCCACAUGUUAUUACAAGAGGAAAUGAACAUACAAGUAAGGAUUUUAUGCCACAUUUAUACAUAGCAUGGGCCAUGCAGCAUGGAUGCAGUGACUGAGUGAAAUGGGAUGCAGUGACUGAGUGAAAUGGGAUGCAGUGACUGAGUGAAAUGGGACGCAGUGACUGAGUGAAAUGGGACGCAGUGACUGAGUGAAAUGGGACGCAGUGACUGAGUGAAAUGGGACGCAGUGACUGAGUGAAAUGGGACGCAGUGACUGAGUGAAAUGCUCACAGCGAAUUGCCCCCUCCAUCCUGACCCGCUCACAGCGACUUGCCCCUGCAGUCCUGUCCCAAUCACAAGGACUUGCCCUCUCCGUCCUUACCCGCUCACAGUGACUUGCCCCUGCAGUCCUGACCCCCUCACAGUGACCUGCCCCCUCACUCCUGACCCGCUCUACAUUGAGGAAACCAAGCAGAGGCUUGGGGACCGCUUUGCAGAACACCUCCACUCGGUUCGCAACAAACAACUGCACUUCCCAGUCGCGAACCAUUUUAACUCCCCCUCCCAUUCCUUAGACGACAUGUCCAUCAUGGGCCUCCUGCAGUGCCACAAUAAUGCCACCCGAAGGUUGCAAGAACAGCAACUCAUAAUCCGCUUGGGGACCCUGCAACCCAAUGGUAUCCAUGUGGACUUCACCAGCUUCAAAAUCUCCCCUUCCCCAACUGCAUCCCAAAACCAGCCCAGUUCUUCCCCUCCCCCUACUGCAUCACAAAACCAGCCCAGCUGUUCCCUUCCCCCGACUGCAUCCCAAAACCAGCCCAGCCUGUCUCCACCUCCCUAACAUGUUGUUCCUCUCACCCAUCCCUUCCUCCCACCUCAAGCCACACCUCAUCCUGCCUCCUUGACCUGUCUGUCUUCCCUGGACUGACCUAUGCCCUCCCUACCUCCUCACCUGUACUCUCCUCUCUACCUAUCUUGUUUUCUCUCCAUCUUCGGUCCGCACCCCCCCCCUCCCUAUUUAUUCCAGUUCCCUCUCCCAUCCCCCUCUCUGAUGAAGGGUCUAGGCCCGAAAUGUCAGCUUUUGUGCUCCUGAGAUGCUGCUUGGCCUGCUGUGUUCAUCCAGCUCCACACUUUAUGUUGGAUUCUCCAGCAUCUGCAGUUCCCAUUAUCAGUGGCAUUUUCCUCUUCAUCGAAGUUUGUGCAAAAGCAACACGAUAUGGGGCGGCACGGUGGCUCAGCGGUUAGCACUGCAGCCUCACAGCACUGGGGACCCAGGUUCAAUUCCAGCCUCAGACAACUGUCUGUGUGGAAUUUGCACCUUGUCCCUGUGUCUGCGUGAGUUUCCACCAGGUGCUCCGGUCUCCUCCCACAGUCCAAAGAUGUGCACGCUAGGUGGAUUGGCAAUGCUAAAUUGCCCGUAGUGUUCAGGGGCGUGGGUCUGGGUGGGAUGCUCCAAGGUUUGGUGUGCACUUGUUGGGCCAAAGGGCCUGUAUCCACACUAGGGAAUCUAAACAAACCUGUUCCCACAUCUCCAUGUUAUAACCCUGCUGAUCACUGCACACAGAGAUGUUUGAUAACAAAAGGAUAACAAUAAUAUUCAAACCUAGUGCUGGAGAUGUAUUUUAAAUACACGGAGGCCAGUGUCGAUCUCCAAUUCAACUUUUAUUUACAAAUGAACUGUCUUCAACUUUAGCACUGCCUCAUUCAGAGAUAGUUGACAGGGUGUCAGCAUCUCUGAUGCUCACACCUCUUAUCUGUCAGCCAGGGCUCCCUGAUUUGGGCUGUUAAUAUGGAACAAUCAGGCAACUCAUAUUCUGCGAGGUUCAACUGGCCGACCUGGUCACAAACCAGUGCGGUGUGUUCAUCGAAAAUCAAACGUAGUAGAAAGAUACCAUUCCAUACCAGUGUAAAGGAAGGCAUGAGGCUAAACUGGGGAGGGAAGGGAACUGCUUAUUGGGGGUGGCCCAGAGAGUAAAAGAAAAUCGAAUGGGAAGAAGACCAUUUGAGACUGAGGGAGAGAGAUGUAAUUGCCUGAAUGAGGCAUUCCAAUUGCGAAAUGGAUUUUAGUGUGUACACCAUGUUCAGUUUCCCCGAUCUUAAUCUGUACUCCUCUUUAAAUCAUUAGUAUCUGAAAUUUCUGUAUCAUUUCCAAAUGUUCUGUCUCUAAUGUUAUGCUGUUGGAGUUGGUUGAACUGCAGAGAUAUUAUUUAUUUGCACAAAUGUGUUCAGUGAAAUGAGUUGCAUGCUAUUUAUGUAUUAUUCUUCCUGAUUCUAUUGUACGCAUACAAAUUAAAGUUAGUUCCACUUUUGAACAAC